GUAAUUUAUUAUUUUUUUUCUUAAGGGCUUUUGUCCUCUCAUGACAGACCAUUAUGGAGUUCCUCCUCUCCAGGCACCUCUUUGUUACCCUAUUACUUGCGAAAUUAAGUGAAAAGGAAAAUUGAACCAAGCCUGUUUUCAUUCUGAUAGAUCACUUUUUUUUUUUUUUUUUGAUAUCCCUCUCUCUCUACAGGAGGUGUCAGAAGAGCUUUUAUUGAUUGCCUGUGGGAUGUCAUGAACUUCAGACAGGGAUUUCUCAGUCUUAAAAAUUUUGAGAUGUGGCUUGGGUUGCUUCUGUGGCAUAGGUUCAAGCCCUAGCCUAGGAACUUCCGAAUGCCACAGGCAAAAACAAAAACAAAACAAACUGGGAGACUAUCAUUGAAGCAACAACCUAAGUAAAAAGCCUCCGGGGUGAGAGAGAGGAGUCUCAAGUCAAGCCAGUCCUUACAUAGUCACGCUUUGCCUCCUAGCCCAACUCUGUUAAUUGUAGCAGUUCUCAAGGUGUGGUCCUGGGACCAGUAGCUUUACCAGCAUUUCGUGGGGAUUUGCUAGAAAUCCUUAGGCCCCAUGCUAGACCUACUAUGCUGGGGCAUAGGAGUUGGUAUUUUAACAAGUGAUUCUGAUGCUCAUUGACUUGAAACCACUGCAUUAUUUUAUGCUGCUUGCCCACCCCAUACCUCCCCUUUCUUUUAAAAAUCUAUUCAUCCCUUUCAACCCCCUUCCCUCCACACCUGUAUACAAUGUUCAAGGCCUUAAGGAUUUUUUCAAAGUUUUUUCAUUAAGGAAAAUUUGGAUAUAUACAAAUAUAUAAAAAUAGAAAAUAAUGAGGAAUCUCAGUGUACUGAAUAACAAGUUUCCACAGUUGUGAAUGUAUGGUCGAGAUCGAUUCAUCAUUAUCUUCACUGAUGCUCACCCUGCCUAAGAUUAUUUUGAAGAAAAUUAUAUCAAUUAAUCUGUGAAUAUGUUAGAAAAUUUCUGUAGAAGCGACCAGCUGGCCUGACUGCCUUCCUUCUUUCCUUCCUAGGGUACCUUUAUCCUUUUCUUCCAAAAGAACCAACACAUAAUCUCAUAAUAUCAACUAUCCAGUCUUCAUAUUUCCCCAGUUAUACAGUUUUUUUCUCUUUUCAAAAAAUAGGUUGUUUGCUUGAAUUGAGUCUGAAAUAAGGUCUUUUAAUUGUUUGUAAUUGAUAAGCCCCCUCCCAUCCCUUUGUUCUUUUUGGUUGAAUAAAUUAGGCUGUUUAUCCUGUAGAACUUCAGUCUUGAUUUUGCUAAUUGCAUAUCUGUGGUGUCAUUUAACUUGUUCCUCUGACUGCAUUUCCUACAGAUUGGUAGCUAGAUUUAGAGGCAUGAGGAGGUUCAGUUUUGAGUUUUGGCACAGAUACCUGAUAGGUUGUCUUGUGUUUCCAUUAAGGGGCACAUAAUGUCUAUUGGUAACCAUUGAUAGUCAUUGUAGGAAUCCAUUAGUUCACUAGGAAUUGCAAAAGGUGAUAUUCUCUUUUUUAAAAAAGCAACUCUUCCUUAUAUUUAAUAAUUACAAUAUUUUUAAAUAGAGAAAUUUUUCCUUGUCAACUAUUUGAUACUCUGAAGUAAAGUUUAAAUGGGAAAGGAAGGAUAAGUGUUCAGUUAUUUCCCUUUAUUUAUCAAUAUUCAAACUAAUGAGUUGAUUCCUUAGGGUCUCCAAAGAUGAUGAAUGAAUGAAUUUUUAGUAUUUGUUAACGAAUUUUUAGUAUUUGUUAAUGGAUUUAAAUACAUGUAAUAUUUUUAGUAUUUGUUAAUGUAUUUAAAUAUAUGUAAUAUUUUCAUCCAUUACUAAACAUGGAGUACCAAUAAAUACUCAAAUUGGCCAGAGAAAGGCUCUUUAUGUUGGCUUCUAUAUCCUUAGUCCUUGAUUACUUUCUUGCUUUUUGGUAUGAAAAGACAUCCCAGGAUCAUCUUGGAAAAUCCUGACCCAGACCUGGAAUCAGCCUUUUGCUCAAAGAACCUUGGUAUUUAAGACUACAAUCUGAGUGCUUGGGGUACUAAUUGCUACUUGGUUUUUCAGUGACCAUAUCCAAGAUAUAAGGUUUUUUGGUAUUUGUUUUUGUUUUUUUUUUUGCCUUUUUUUGUCUUUUUAGGGCCACACCUGUAACAUAUGGAGGUUCCCAGCCUAGGGAUCGAAUCAGAGCUAGAGCUGCUGGCCUGUGCCACAGCCACAGCAACAUGGAUCCGAGUUGUGUCUGCAGCCUGCAGCACAGCUCAAGGCAACUGCCGGAUCCUUAACCUACUGAGCAAAGCCAGGGAUUGAACCCGCGUCCUCAUGAAUACUAGUUGGGUUCAUUAACCACUGAGCCACGACAGGAACUCCAGAAAUAAGUUUUUGUUUGUUUAAAACCUAGGCACAGUACUUAGUACUUGAAGAAAUAGAUAUACGAUAUGGUUCCUGGAACUUCCUGGUGGCCUAGUGGUUAAGGAUUCAGCAUUGUCACUGCUGUGGCUUGGGUUUGAUCCCUGGUCCAAGAAC
rnacentral:lncRNA from 1 species